AUUGAACGCUGGCGGCAGGCUUAACACAUGCAAGUCGAGCGAGCGGCGGACGGGUGAGUAAUGUCUGGGAAACUGCCUGGUGGAGGGGGAUAACUACUGGAAACGGUAGCUAAUACCGCAUUCCAUCAGCUGUGCCCAGAUGGGAUUAGCGCGUAGGUGGGGUAAUGGAUUACCUAGGCGACGAUCCCUAGCUGGUCUGAGAGGAUGACCAGCCACACUGGAACUGAGACACGGUCCAGACUCCUACGGGAGGCAGCAGGGGGGAAUAUUGCACAAUGGGCGAAAGCCUGAUGCAGCCAUGCCGCGUGUGUGAAGAAGGCCUUCGGGUUGUAAAGCACUUUCAGCGAGGAGGCGUUACUCGCAGAAGAAGCACCGGCUAACUCCGUGCCAGCCGCCGCGGUAAUUC
rnacentral:rRNA from 1 species